rnacentral:lncRNA from 1 species
AAAAUCAUUUUAAAAUGGUCGCUUUUCUUACUUAACUUUUUCUUGUUAUAAUACUUUCUUUCAUAUGAGAUUAUGACAUUAUUGUGAAUAGUGACCGUUUUUCUCUAGCCAAAUGAAGAAGGCUUCCAAAACUCCAAGGUCGGUCCGACUUGUGAAUUCUCCUCCGUUGUGUCUAGUUAUUGAGCUUCGUAGAUAUAUUUUCGGGUUUAGUUAUACUCUUAAAUCUAGAUUUUUAAGAUUUAUCUCUGUGGUUUUAGGUCAGGAUCAGAUUUAGCAAUAGCAUAGAUUGGCUAGGAUUUUGGUGCUUUGUGUCUUAGCUAGCAGGUUUUCUCCUUUUAUUGGCAGAGUUUACUUUAGAUUCUCACUGCCUCGAACUUUUGCCUUUCUCUGUCAAAUGAGAAUGACUCUAGUUGAUUUGAAUCAAAUUCGUUGAUCAAGAUCUGAUAUGUUCUGAAAACUUCUUUCACCGCAUCUGCAAGAUAGUGAAGAACUUUUCGAAGUUAUGCCUUGCUGGAUUAUGAAGCUAGGGAACCCACGAUGCAAGGAGGAUCUGCUAUUAAUAGUUUGGCCAGUUCAUGGCAUCUUCGACCAAUGUUCUCCAGAGGUAGGUAUGAUGUGAAUCAUUAGUUGCCGGCAAAAGCUAUCCUUGUGGACUCUGUCACAAAUGUUCUAUUGCUUUCUAUUUAUGUUGAUUUAUGCUAUGUUUGCCUUAAAUGUUUUGACUGUAGUCAGUGGCGGAUCUAGAACAUUUUUUGUUAAGAACAUUUUCAAUAAAAUACAUAUUUUUUUAAAUAAAAAGGGAUACUUUUUUAUAAACUUAUUUAAAUAUCAUACUAAAUCAGUUUUCUUAAGGUUUGUUUAUUAAAAAAAACAAAAAAAAAAAAGAUUAGGGGACAUAUGAUCCCGUACCGUCCUCUCUGCGUCCGCCCCUGAAUGUAGUGUUUUUUAGGUUUUUUCAGUUUUGUAUGUCUUCUUUUCAUAAGGUUUUGUGUCUAAAAAAAUUCUUGUUUUUUUAUUGACUUUGUUUCCGAGGAUAUUAGCUUAUUUUGUUAGCUUUGUAUCUUUUAGUCUAACAUUCAACAUUUCAAUAAUUAAUAAGAAAUUAAACAAUACUUUCUUUAAAAAUCUAUUAUAUAAAAGUUAUUCAAGUGUCUUCAGCUGCUUGUCACAUCAGUACUGGAUCAGUACUGGAGAGAUUGACACAUGGCAUAUCAAAUUUUGGGGGAAAAAUGGAACUUUCACCAUACGUUUUUCAUUUUGCAAUCAAAGAACUUCAAUCCUCAAAAAAAUUUAAUCUAUGGCCGAUGAGUAUUAUCUAUCAUCUUUGAGGAAAUCAGUUAUGAUAGAGAUUGUGGAAAUUAAUCCAAUUUCGAAAAACACUAUUUAUGUUCUUCCAUCUUGGUGUUUGUGCUGAAGAAAUCGACUUGCUGUGAGGAGCAAAAAGCAAAGAAGUUUGAAUCUCAGAUCUUUCCGCUUACUGACGUACUCAAUUAUUGAGGUAAUUGUUUACAUUUGUUUCUCGAUCUAUACUACUCUGUGAUAACUCAUCCCACUAUAUCUCGAUCUGAUUAAGGUAUAUGCUUUCCCUAAUUGAAUCUUCAUUCUUCAUUGGCUGAGUUUACUGCAAUUACAUGAUUUGUUUAUCCUUUACGUUUCACUGAGUCUUAAAUAGACCAAGACGGAAGCCUUGGUACUAUGGGAGGUGAAUCUAGAUAAUGGGUUCGUAGGCCUAUCCAUGUAAGGUUUUAGAUGGGAACAACAAGCUUCUUAAGGGCCAAUCAGACCUCUUCAAUAUGAACUUCAUGUGAAACCUCUAAGCUCCAUAAUGUGAAAUCAAUUCUGACAUAUAUUUCUUUUGUGCAUAUUAAAGAAAUGUGUUCUGCUUUAUGACUGUAAAUAAUCAAGGAUUUGAUUUGAGAUUGUAAAGGUAUACUUGCUAGGUUAAGAUAAUAUCAAAAAGAGUGUGUCCAUAGAGAAAUUGGUUUGGAUGUGAUGAGUGUUUAUAAUGGAAACGAAAAAACAUGUUUGUAGGAUCAACUUAUGAGACGCCCAGGUGGUAUGUUUGAUGUGGGUGCAGUGGGCAACACAAGUUUUACCCUAGACAAGCUGCAAGUGCACAGCAAACGCAGUAGUACUUAGGGAUCGAAUCCAUAGAGAUUUGUGUGUUUAGAAUUCCUAACUGAUGCUAAAAACAAUCGUAGACCUAAUAUAAUAAAAAAAGAUUUUGGUUUUUCACUAAAUCUAAUUAAGCAGAGAAUUAAAAAUCUGGAAAUAAAAAUCGGUUGAAAACAAUAGAAAAACGGCGCUGGGCUCAAGGUUCAUCUUUAGGGUUCAUGGUCUAAAACACAAGAAAUUUAGGCAAAGAUUUUCUAUGACUCUGAAACUAGGAUAGACACUUUAAGAUUAGCCAACUCUCGUCACCCUAAUUAUCUAAUCACUCAUUCAUGGAAAUUAACUCUCGCUCUCAUGCCAGACAAGAUCAUGCAUUGCAGAUCGGACGUCCAUAGGAUCCAUUUCAAGCAACCCAGAUACAACAGUCUCGUGGCUCAGAUUUAACCUAGGAUCGGACUCUGGGUGAUCAAUCCAGAGUUACCGCUUUGAGAUUUGGAUGAAUGGGAGAAUCAUGUAAAAUUUGAAAUCCUUUUUCCUAAAAACCUAGAUGUCAUUCGAACAUGGGAUCCCUUUGGAUUUCCCUUUCACCCAACUAGAUGACUACUCGGACAUGGCUGAGAUAGACAUCAUCAUCGGUUUAAGAACUUAGAAAGAAGAAAAGUAAAGAAACAAAAGUUGCAGAAAAACUUCUCUUAUUGAAGACAGAGUGGCGAUGAAGAACUUCUACAGAUGCAUAAAAUAAAAACCUAAAACUACAAAUGAGUUCUCUCUCAAAGAGAAGAAAGAGGCUCUUCUACAAAAGACCUAAAAAUGAGUAUUUAUAGUAUUUCUCCAAGUCUGGGCAUUUAGGACUUGUAAAAUGGGUGUAGAAAGUGUCUUGGGCCUUAGAUGGGCUCCUGAGGUUCGGACAUAGGUCCACCGGGGAUAAAACCUCUUGAGUACCAGGAACAAGUCUGGCCGCGGGUGAAAGCUUAUGUCCUUGACUGGACUUGUGUUGAUCGGCCUUCAGUGCAUUGAUGAUAUAUAUGGAGAUCUAACGGUUGGAUUGCUUUGAUUCCAAGUGUGUUGGAAAGCUGGUUGUCUACUCUAUAAUGUCUACAAAUUUGGGGAUGAUCAAACGGUGAGAAUGUCAUCUUUAGUUGCCAAACUUCUGACGGUCUGAAUUUAUUCAAAAAUAUACUUUUGCUCCAAAAUGCACUCUAAAACUCCAAGUUUUCUGAGAAGCCUUUUAAAACUUCAAAACAUGGAAAACACUUAUAAAACCUUUAAAUCUGAGUGAAAACACCUGCAUAAGAUAUUGAAAGUGAUCCAUAAAAAUGGUUAAAAUCAGGUGUUAUCAAUGUUUUAUACAUUUCAUUUUUUACGUUUUCUAAUGAUUGUAGUACAAUUGAUGCAUGCAACAUCUUUCUUCAAUUGAUUACUUUACUGCACAAUUCUUUUUUUCUUUGUGUGUCAUGAGAAGCUCAGGUAUAUAAACAUGGAGACAUUUUUGUGUUUAUCUUGUUUAGAUAUUUUUGUGUUCAACUUAUGUGGUAAGAUCAUAUAAAACCAGUAGUAUAUCUUGAUUAUGAACAUGACAAAUAGUCUUGUCUUAUCAACUUUUAAAAUCAUGGAUUUGAUUUUUCAAUAUUAUCUCCUUUUUUAAAUUCAGAACUGAAACAUGCUAUAUGGGAUCAAACAAGCUCAUCAGAUGUUGCAGUGUAAGAGACUACCCACAACAAGUCUGAGUAUUUUCUUCGAUUUUGCUUCUCCAUCGGCUAAAAGUGUCUUAAAUAUAUUAACUUAUUUUUGUUGAAAAAAGAAAAAAAUUGGUAAUGUAGCCACCCCCAAAAAUAUAGGUUCCACAACCAAUCAAGUCAUUGUAAGUAAGGAAAGUCGCUGAACAUUUUUUUAUAGUUUUAAACAUACAAGUGCCACGGUUAUAUGAA